GAAUUUUGGACAAUGGGCGAAAGCCUGAUCCAGCAAUGCCGCGUGCAGGAUGAAGGCCUUCGGGUUGUAAAGCACUUUAAGCGAGGAGGAGGCUACUCUAGUUAAUACCUAGAGAUAGUGGACGUUACUCGCAGAAUAAGCACCGGCUACCUCUGUGCCAGCAGCCGCGGUAAUACAGCGGGUGCAAGCGUUAAUCGGAUUUACUGGGCGUAAAGCGCGCGUAGCUGGCCAAUUAAGUCAAAUGUGAAAUCCCCGAGCUUAACUUGGGAAUUGCAUUCGAUACUGGUUGGCUAGAGUAUGGGAGAGGAUGGUAGAAUUCCAGGUGUAGCGGUGAAAUGCGUAGAGAUCUGGAGGAAUACCGAUGGCGAAGGCAGCCAUCUGGCCUAAUACUGACACUGAGGUGCGAAAGCAUGGGGAGCAAACAG
rnacentral:rRNA from 1 species